GCUCCUGUAGCUCAGUGGAUCAGAGCAGAAGAGUUCUAACCUUAUGGUCGUGGGUUCGAAUCCCACCGGGAGCACGA
rnacentral:tRNA from 5 species